UACGUAGGGGGCAAGCGUUGUCCGGAAUCAUUGGGCGUAAAGCGCGUGUAGGCGGCUAGGUAAGUCUGCUCUGAAAGCCCUGGGCUCAACCCAGGAACUGCAUUUGAAACUCCCUUUCUUGAGUGUCGGAGAGGAAAGCGGAAUUCCUGGUGUAGAGGUGAAAUUCGUAGAUAUCAGGAGGAACACCGGUGGCGAAGGCGGCACUCUGGGCCGAUACUGACGCUGAGGAGCGAAAGCGUGGGGAGCAAACAGG
rnacentral:rRNA from 1 species